rnacentral:sRNA from 1 species
CCUGAGGACACGGAGACAGUCACGGCAAGCCAAAUGCGCUGGACACAUUCGUACCUUUCUGAUGAUGAGGACAUGCUGGCUGACAGCAUCUCGGGAGACGACCUGGGCAGUGGGGACCUGGGCAGCGGGGACUUCCAGAUGGUUUAUUUCCGAGCCCUGGUGAAUUUCACUCGCUCCAUUGAGUACAGCCCUCAGCUGGAGGACGCAGGCUCCAGAGAAUUCCGAGAGGUGUCUGAGGCUGUGGUAGACACGCUGGAGUCGGAGUACUUGAAAAUUCCCGGAGACCAGGUUGUCAGUGUGGUGUUCAUCAAGGAGCUGGAUGGCUGGGUUUUUGUGGAGCUGGAUGUGGGCUCAGAAGGGAAUGCGGAUGGGGCUCAGAUUCAGGAGGUGCUGCUCAGGGUCAUCUCCAGCAGUUCCAUGGCCUCCUACAUCACCUCUCCCCAGGGAUUCCAGUUCCGACGCCUGGGCACAGGUGAGCCUGUCCUGGUGUCUGGGGUUGCCUCCUCCAGACUUGUGGGGUCCCCUUUCAGUGUCUCUGUCAUGGGCUCCCAACUUGGGCUUGCACACUAGAAACAGGGAGCUCACUACCUCCUGAGUCUGCCCCAUCGAUCUUUACACAAUCUUGGCUUGGUAGA